ensembl:miRNA mir34a microRNA 34a
CUGCUGUGAGUGGUUCUCUGGCAGUGUCUUAGCUGGUUGUUGUGUGGAGUGAGAACGAAGCAAUCAGCAAGUAUACUGCCGCAGAAACUCGUCACCUU